GACGAACGCUGGCGGCGCGCUUAACACAUGCAAGUCGAACGGAAAGGCCUGCUUUCCCUUGUGGAUUGCGGGUACUCGAGUGGCGAACGGGUGAGUAACACGUGAGUGAUCUGCCCCCAACUUGGGUAUAAGCCUGGGAAACUGGGUCUAAUUCCCGAUAGGACUGCAGGGUGGUGCCUGUGGUGGAAAACGAUUUUCUAGUGGUUGGGGAUGAGCUCGCGGCCUAUCAGCUUGUUGGUGGGGUAAUGGCCUACCAAGGCGGCGACGGGUAGCCGGCCUGAGAGGGUGGACGGCCACAUUGGGACUGAGAUACGGCCCAGACUCCUACGGGAGGCAGCAGUGGGGAAUAUAGCACAAUGGGCGGAAGCCUGAUGCAGCGACGCCGCGUGGGGGAUGACGGCCUUCGGGUUGUAAACUCCUUUCGACCGCGAGGAAGCCACCUGGUUGGAAGGGUGGUGACGGUAGUGGUAGAAGAAGCACCGGCUAACUACGU
rnacentral:rRNA from 1 species